UACGAAGGGUGCAAGCGUUACUCGGAAUUACUGGGCGUAAAGCGUGCGUAGGUGGUUUGUUAAGUCUGAUGUGAAAGCCCUGGGCUCAACCUGGGAAUUGCAUUGGAUACUGGCAGGCUAGAGUGCGGUAGAGGAUGGCGGAAUUCCCGGUGUAGCAGUGAAAUGCGUAGAGAUCGGGAGGAACACCGAUGGCGAAGGCAGGUCUCUGGGCUAACACUGACGCUCAUGCACGAAAGCGUGGGGAGCAAACAGG
rnacentral:rRNA from 1 species